rnacentral:rRNA from 1 species
GGUUAAGUGACUAAGCGUACACGGUGGAUGCCUAGGCAAUCAGAGGCGAAGAAGGACGUGCUAAUCUGCGAAAAGCUUGGAUGAGUUGAUAAGAAGCGUUUAAUCCAAGAUGUCCGAAUGGGGAAACCCGAUGGAUGAAGAAUCCAUCAUUUCAUUAUGAAUCCAUAGUAAUGAAAGGCAAACCGGGAGAACUGAAACAUCUAAGUACCCCGAGGAAAAGAAAUCAACCGAGAUUUUGUAAGUAGCGGCGAGCG